rnacentral:tRNA from 1 species
GCCCUCGUAGCUCAGGGGAUAGAGCACAGGUUUCCUAAACCUGGUGUCAGGAGUUCGAAUCUCUUCGGGGGCACCA